rnacentral:misc_RNA from 1 species
CUUCCUGCAUGUAAAAUUCAAAUACUAACAUCACAAUUCACAUAGGAAAAGAACAUAUUUUCACCAUAACUUAAAAAAUUUGUGUCAAUUUGGAAUGCAAUUGAAGUGAACAAGUGUGAAAUUUGAAUGAAAAUAACCAACAUUCCUGACCUAACCUUACCUACUUUCCUAAAAAGUUUGUAAUACCCUUAAUACCAACUUAAAACCCCCAUGCCAGAUGUCUACAACAUACAAACCUUUCAACCAGACUACUACAGUAACACCUCACAACCUAUUCCAUUCUGAACCUAUUGAUUGGGAUUUUUGUAUACCUACUUUUACUCAUUGCAUCCUAGCUUGCUAUUAUAGCAAACAUGCAGGUAUUUAAAGAAAUGUUUUGUUUUUCCUUCUUAGCUGUUGAAAUUUCUUGAAUGCCAACACAACACAACACACCAUGCGCACAUGACAGAGGUCUCCGUCACUGCGGAAGGAAGAUCGCAAUGCUGCUUGCAGGCUGUUGACAGAAAGUGAUCAGUUGUCGUGUUCCGCCAGCUGCUGCGCCGGGGUUGGCAGCGCACAGCCGCUACCAGCUGACACGCCGACCGGUGCGCGGCGCGCGUGCGCCGGGCGCCGACGGCCGUCGUCUGGCAGCAACAGCGCUGCCAGUGACUCGCGCUGCUGCUGCAGAAACUGGGCAAGGAUCGUAGAAUCCUGGCGUGUUUUUGUAACGUCCAUUAGAGUGAUUUAGACGCAGCGUGUAGAAAGGACUCGUUUAUUGACGUGUGACUUUCUGACAGCUCAGUCACCUGUUGACGGCGGCGCACAGCGUCACCUACCCGCCCUACAGCCGCCCAGCAGGCGGACGGAGAGGCCCGCCCAGGCCCAGUGCCGCACGGAGAGGCGGCGGCGCUGGAGGCCAACACCCCAUCUCGCGGCCUGUAGCUGACGGUGCUGGAGCCGCGAGUCACCGUGGUGGCUGGCCAUGGAGACUUGGGGAAAAGGCCGGUGAGGUGCGUCUCCAGCUGCGCUGUCAGACGAUCCAGUGGAACGAGCAGCAGCCCAUGUACCCGUCCCGGCUGUGCCGGUGUGUCUCCCAGCUUGAGCGUCGCCGGCCGACCGCUGCGCUGCUCUACAACUGCCACGUCCACACACGAUGCACGGUGACGGCUGACCAGGCGGUGCUGGUCUCGGCCGCGGCCGACGGCCAGCCCGCCCAGGAGCACCAGGUCGCCUCGCUCUCCUCAGCCUGGGUCUACUGGAAGGCCCUGCUGGCGCCGGCCCUGUGGGCCGGCUCCCAGCACCCGCUCACAGCAGGUGUGCCACUACUGCGAGCUGAGCGUGCGCCAGGGCGGCCGCCUGCUUCGGCUGCGCCGGCGCCGAGCCAGCCGGCUCGCAGCUGGACCUGCCACUAGAGACGGACCUGUGGGACCUGGACGUGCGGCUGUGUCAGACCGGCUGGUGCUGGGCCGGCGCCGCCCGGUGCGCUGUCAGCUGGACGGCCGGCC